AACGGCUCAGUAACACGUGGACAACCUAACCUAAGGUGGGGGAUAACCCCGGGAAACUGGGGAUAAUACCCCAUAGACUAUGAAUGCUGGAAUGCUUUGUAGCUGAAAGGUCAGCCGCCAUAGGAUGGGUCUGCGGCCGAUUAGGUAGUUGUUGGGGUAACGGCCCAACAAGCCUGUAAUCGGUACGGGUUGUGGGAGCAAGAGCCCGGAGAUGGAUUCUGAGACACGAAUCCAGGCCCUACGGGGCGCAGCAGGCGCGAAAACUUUACAAUGCGGGAAACCGUGAUAAGGGAACUCUGAGUGCCCGUUAAAUCGGGCUGUCCACCAGUUUAAAAAACUGGUGAAGAAAGGGCCGGGCAAGACCGGUGCCAGCCGCCGCGGUAAUACCGGCGGCUCGAGUGGUGGCCACUAUUACUGGGCUUAAAGCGUUCGUAGCUGGUUUGUUAAGUCUCUGGGGAAAUCUUCCGGCUUAACCGGAAGGCGUCUCAGGGAUACUGGCAGACUAGGGACCGGAAGAGGUGAGGGGUACUUCAGGGGUAGGAGUGAAAUCCUGUAAUCCUUGAGGGACCACCUGUGGCGAAGGCGCCUCACCAGGACGGCUCCGACAGUGAGGGACGAAAGCUGGGGGAGCAAACCGGAUUAGAUACCCGGGUAGUCCCAGCCGUAAACGAUGUGCGUUAGGUGUAUCGGUGACCACGAGUCACCGAGGUGCCGAAGAGAAAUCGUGGA
rnacentral:rRNA from 1 species